AUAGAUACCCGGGUAGUCCACGCCCUAAAACGAUGCGAACUGGAUGUUGGGUACAUUACGGUACUCAGUGUCGAAGCUAACGCGUUAAGUUCGCCGCCUGGGGAGUACGGUCGCAAGACUGAAACUCAAAGGAAUUGACGGGGGCCCGCACAAGCGGUGGAGUAUGUGGUUUAAUUCGAUGCAACGCGAAGAACCUUACCUGGCCUUGACAUCUGUCGAAUCCUGCAGAGAUGCGGGAGUGCCGCAAGGAACGACAAGACAGGUGCUGCAUGGCUGUCGUCAGCUCGUGUCGUGAGAUGUUGGGUUAAGUCCCGCAACGAGCGCAACCCUUGUCCCUAGUUGCCAGCACGUAAUGGUGGGAACUCUAGGGAGACUGCCGGUGACAAACCGGAGGAAGGUGGGGAUGACGUCAAGUCCUCAUGGCCCUUACGGCCAGGGCUACACACGUACUACAAUGGUCGGUACAGAGGGUUGCGAAGCCGCGAGGUGAAGCCAAUCCCAGAAAACCGAUCCCAGUCCGGAUUGGAGU
rnacentral:rRNA from 1 species